rnacentral:lncRNA from 1 species
UUUAAAAUACCUUUUCCAUGGCGUCGCCGGCCAUACGUAUACGUCCAUCGCAUUGCUCUUGAAGAGGUUGAGAUGCUUUGUGGAGAGAGACUAUCGCACACACUUGAAGAUCAUCUCCAAACCGAAGGAGGAGCAGGAGAAAAAAAAGGGACUGUCUAUUUUACAACCGGAUGAAAACAAAUUCGCUUUCAGUCAGAUUUUUCCACCAAUUACAGGAUACAAGUGUCUCCUGUCCUGUGUUAGUUCCUACUUGUCCCCGAUUUUAAACACCACCAGCAUCACGAGCUUAAACGGGUCCACACACCAGCAUCAUAAUCUUAACGGGUCCACAUUCCAACUUAUCCAGCUUCCAGCCCGGACAGAAAAUCAACAAAACCGAGCACAGAAAAACCCAAAGUUACAACCAAACUUUGCCAUGUACAUGUGCACUAAACUAGAGCAAAUGAAAAAAAAGGAAAGGACCAGGGUGCUGUCACCUAAUCACACACACACCUAAAUGGACAUGACAAAUCACACUCAGGAGCACUAAAAAUUACAUUGAAACGCUAUAAAAUUACACUAAUAACUCCACUAUAUUUCCACUGUGAUUUCCACUACAAAAAUGCACUGCAGAGGACGGGAAUAAGCACCAACCAAGAGGGCGAUUCCUCCAUGAUCUAUGACAGAAACCUGAAGAUGAUCCACACUGCAGAAGAUGAGGAAACAUAGGUAAACACCCCCCAACUUUGCAAUCACCACAUACUAAGCAUGAUUUAGGCAGAUCUCUCUCCCCUGUCUCUCUACAUCAGAAAUCAAAAGGGCGUCUGUACAUGCUGCAGAGACAAAUAAACCCACUAACAUACUGGAGGGACAAAAAAAUAUGAAUUCUAGUACUUUAAACUAGAACCAGGAAAUUAAGACUAGAUCUAGGAAGAACACUAUAGGAUCCUAUGAGUCUAGGGGUGCAGGCACAGAAAGGUUAGGAAACAAAAUUCCAUAUUAAUUUCAUGAAUUUGAGAACUACUAGGAAGUUUCUGAAUUGAAAACAACAGUUACAGCACAUGGAAAUGAGUAUAAAGAGAUAGGAGAUCACAUGUUCAGGGAGAUAAAAUACAAAAUGUUAGGAGAGUCCUUGAACAAACAGGUUAGAAAUGCUAUAUUUUCAUAAAGCUAGGACUGUAAUUGAGAAACGUUGGCACACACAAACUAUACUCUAAUCAGAAACUUAGAUCAUGAUUACAAAAUAACCCAUCUACAAGAAAGUAAAGAAACUAGGACUAAAUUUUGUAGCUUUGGAACUACAUAGAAAGACCUUCCUUUCCUAAUUGAAGUUCAAAUUGCUACGAACUACUGUUUGUAAAUACAAAUGAGUACACACAUGAAGUAAUGAAAUGAUCAGUUCAUAUCAAUUAAACCUAUGAACUGACAAAAAGGGGCAAACACAUGUACAAGCACACAGUACAUGUUUCAAGAUUAACAGAACAAUGCUUAUAUACAUGUUUACAUUUACAGGUGCUUGCAAUGGAAUCAAAUGGGAUGGGCAAAAGCAUGAAGGGUCACGACCUGUACCUCGAACAUGAUGAAGCUAAGUUCCUUAAUGUAUAUUUCUCUUAUAGCAUUAACAUAUCCUGUGAAAAGAAAACCGAUUCAAUCAUGCUUUUCUAAAUUGGUUCUUGACAACAAAACAGAGUGGAGCAUACUUGUUCACUCAACAAAAUAGUGCAAGUCCACUGAGAGUUACAGUGUAAAUCCAAUAAGAAUUACACUGUAAAAUCCUCAAAGGAUUACAGUGUAAAUCCACUGAGAAUUACACUGUAAAACCCACUAAAAAUUACGGUGUAAGUCCACUGAGAGAUACAGUGUAAAUCCAAUAAGAAAUACACUAAAUAUAAUACAGAAAUAAUCCAGCCCCUACUCAAAUGCAGAUUACAAAAGGGUAAAAAACUGUCCCUACUCGAAAGCAGUAAGGAUUACAGUGUAAAUCCACUGAAAUUACACUCAAUAAAUAUCAAGAGUUACAAUGCAAAAAACACUGAAAAUCAUAGUGUAAAUCCACUAAAAAUUACACUAAAAUAAUCAAGAGUUACAGUGCAAAUUCCACUGAAAAACUACAGUCUAAAUCCACUAAAAACUACACUGGAAAUCCAUUGAAAUUACACUGUAAAAAUCAAGAGUUAGAGUGCAAAUCCACUAAAAAUUACAGUGUAAAUCCACUUAAGCGUACAUUGUAAAUCCACUAAGAAUCCUCUGAACCCAGUAAAGAAUUACAUUACAAAAUGCACUAAGGAUACAUUGAAAAUGCACUGAGAAUUACACUGCAAAAAAUCACCUAAAUUCUAAAGAACUUACACUGUAAAUCCACUGAGAUUGAAGUGUAAAACCACUAAGAAUACACACUAAAAUCCUCACUGUAAUUACACUGAAUUUGACACUGUAAUUACAAUUCAAAAGCACUGUAAUUCCACUGAAAAUGCCCGCAAUAAUUACAUGGAAAAUUCACUGAAACAUACAUUGUACUUAGAAUACAAAUUUUAGUGAAAUUACACUGGAUUUCUAAUAAAAACACAUGAGUUUCAGAGACUGGAACACAGUGUAACCACAUUAAUUAGCUGUGAUUACACUGAUUUUUAUAGUCACACAAACUAUGAGCUAGAUUCAGCAUCUACAUCCAAACAGGAGGGAUCUGUAGCAACAACUACAAGGAGGAUUGUACACACCUAGGAGCAUCUACAACCAACCAGGAGGGAUCCAGCGACAACUGCAAGAUGGAUCCACUAAAGAAAUUGAACACAACUAGGAGCUACUCGUUACAGUGACAACUAGAGCGCAAUCCGGAAGCACAAAAAAACAACAAUAUACAGGAAGGAUCCACCACUACAUAUACAUCAAACGCACACCUGCAACGUUCAAAACAUCUUGGAACCACAGCUACAGAGGGGAACAUACAGGAUUCACCGGAUUUAGAAAAAAUCAAACAGGAAAAACAAGGGGAGGAACAAAGGGGGGAAAGGAUACUUACAAAACCAACCAUGGAUGGAGGAUGAGGAGGGGGACACAGACUCGCAGAUCAACACAGGGAAAAUGAGGAGCUGCCGAAGUCAAGCGAAGCAAAGAAGACAACGCAGCCGGAUCGCCAUCGCAUCGAUUUUGCCUCUCCCUCUGCGCGCGCUUGAGGACAAGGAAGCAGAGGAUGGGAAGGGGGAAGGAGGACUGGACGCCUAACCACCGGCUCGCCCUCGAGAGAUCUGCGACUGAGAUCUCUAGCUAAAAAUCGUCAUGACUCUGCCUCAAGCUCGCGCCGCUCGUUGUGGGGAAUGAAAACGGACAAAGUCAGCAGAGGAGAAAAAGGAAAUAAAAAGAACCCGACUAGGACACUACCCGCCAGGAUUAACGGGUCUCAGGAGAAGUUUGUGGGCCCGAUAACGGACAAAGCACCCCGAGGCGGAAAAAAAGAGAAAAACACGAAUCUUGAGUCGAG